CCUACGGGUGGCAGCAGUGGGGAAUAUUGCACAAUGGGGGAAACCCUGAUGCAGCGACGCCGCGUGAGUGAAGAAGUAAUUCGUUACGUAAAGCUCCAUCAGCAGGGAAGAAAUACUGACCUUACGGUCAGCAGACGGUACCUGAGUAAGAAGCCCCGGCUAACUACGUGCCAGCAGCCGCGGUAAUACGUAGGGGGCAAGCGCUAUCCGGAUUUACUGGGAGUAAAGGGAGCGUAGACGGUGCGUCAAGACUGUGGUGAAAGGCCGUGGCUGAACGGUGGAACUGCUAGGGAGACUGGCGGACUUGAGUGCAGGGGGGGUAGGCGGAAUUCGUGGUGUAGCGGUGAAAUGCGUAGAUAUUAGGAAGAACGCCGGUGGCGAAGGCAGCUUACUAGACUGUAACUGACAUUGAGGCUCGAAAGCGUGGGGAGCAAACAGGAUUAGAGACCCGAGUAGUC
rnacentral:rRNA from 1 species